AUGUCGUUGUUGAGCAGUGGAUUACAUUGCAUUAUGUAUAGUGUACAAUGCACUGCAGAAUCAGAGUUAACUUUAUGUGAGGUAGUAAACAGAAGAAAAUGGGUGUUGUUUGUUGGAAUCAAUGUGUGGGACAGAGUUUGGUUUGUCUUUGGGGGUACAAUGACAAGCUUUAAUUUCUCUCUUGAACAUUUUUCUCUCUUCUAUUGGGUAUGCAAUCAUAUACUACUUUUACACCAUGGAUUCCAUUAA